UACGGCUAUAUCACCUUAAACACAGGUUCCCGUACGAAAACCGAAGUUAAGCAACGUCGAGUCUGGUCAGUACCUAAUUGGAGGACCGCUUGAGAAUACCAGGUGCUGUAAG